rfam:Rattus norvegicus chromosome 11, whole genome shotgun sequence.
GGGGAUCUAGCUCAGUGGUAGAGCGCUUGCCUAGGAAGCGCAAGGCCCUGGGUUCGAUCCCCAGCUCCA